rnacentral:lncRNA from 1 species
UCGAAUUCGUCUAAGUUUAUUGGUUCCACUGGAGAUUCUUCUUUAACGUCUUCGUCGUCAUCGUCGAGCUGGGUUAUUCGGAGGCCUUUGAAAUCGUCUCCGUUGAAGCUGCUCAUCGCUAAAGGUUUUGACUUUAUGAGUUGAGUUGUUGAAAAUGAACCAAGGGGGGUGAUUCUAGGGUUUUACUAAUUGCUGCUAUAAACCUCCACUCCAUCUUUCACGAAGAAGACGAUGAAGUUAGAAAAACCUAGACGGAAACGACGUCGUAAUGUUUAGGCCCAUCAUAGUAUACGCCCAUUAAUGGUUUGCAGUUAACAGAAUAACUUUAGAGAAUCUCCGAUGUAAAACUCCAUUUUCUUCUUAUAAAUGGAGUAAAAGUGAAAAUGAAGUAAAAUUGCUCCAAUCCUAUUCCAUUUCCCACUCCAUAAUGGAGUGAUGAACAAACAAAAAAUAGUUUACUCUAUUUAUGGAGUAAAUUUCAUUAUGGAGUGAGAUAUAAAAUUGGGUUGGAGCAUUUCUUAUUCCAUAUUCACUUUUACUCUAUUUUAAAGGAAAAAAUAGAGUAGGGAAUGCCCUUAGCCACUCAUAGUCCUCAGCAUAAUAUCAUAAACCCGAAAAACCAAAUCAGAACCAAAUUAAAAAACUGAAACCGAAACUGAAUUGAAAAUUACAAAAAUCCAAAUGGUUCUUAUAUUUCUAAAUCUGCAAAACGAAACCGAAUCGGAUCGAACCGAAAAUCAAAUAUUUUGAAUAUAUUAAAAAUAUUAAUUAUUUUUAAUUUUAAUAUCUCUAAAAUAUAAUUUAUAAAUAAAAAUAUCUAAAAUACUCAAACUACCCGAAAUUAUUUUCGUUUUUUUUUUCUGGAUUUAACUCAAGUUUUCGGAAUUUUUUGGUUUUUAAGAUUUAUAAUUUAUAAUUAUGUUUACUUCGGAUUUUAUACAAAAUAGAAACCCAACCUGGAUUCGACAUUAUCUGAACCGAUCAAGAAAAUGUCCAGUUACUAAACAGUUCUUAAACACCUUAAUCCGGAUAAUCAAAAAACCGAAUAAACCGAGAACCGAAGACCGAGUGUCCGGCACCACUAGGCAGGGAGAAAAGUGUCUGCGUCACUGACUUCAAACGUCUACUCCACUUGAUUUCCCAAUAGGCCCAAUUAACAGCUAAAAGCCAAAUAACCUUCCGUCUUCGUUAAGUCUACAGCCACGCGCUAAACCAGAGAACGCUUUGCGAUUCAGAUUCAUUACUUUUCUUCCGACGACACAAGUCCGUGAAAUUCGAAGCUCAUAAAAACCCGAUCUCGUGUUUGGAGUUUGGUUUGGCUUUGAUGGCGACGAGGAACCGAACGACGGUGUACAGGAAACACAGAGAUGCCUGUAAGAGCGCGCGAGCUCCUUUAUCCGAUUCGUUCGGUGGUCCCGUGAUCGAAAUGGUUAGCGGCUCUUUUGCUCGGUCCAACCACUCCUCUUAUGCUCCUUUGAGCACCAAUGAUCCUGGUCCUUCAAGGUAGUUUCUGUGUUCUUGUUCUUUGAUGAUGCAAAAUUUGUUGAUGGGUUUGAAUAAAAAUGCAAACUUUCUUGAUGGGUUUGAAUAAAAUGCAAAAUUUGUUGAUGGGUUUGAAUAAAAAUGCAAACUUGAUGAUUGAAUCGAAUUGUUUCUUUAUGGGUAUGAAUAAAAAUGCAAACUUUAUUGUUAUUUGUGAAUGUUAUUGCAGUAGCAAUGAUGCCUUCACAAUUGGUCUGCCACCAGCUUGGGUGGAUGAUUCUGAGGAGAUCACUUUUAAUAUACAGAAGGUGAGAGACAAGAUGGGUGAGCUAGCUAAGGCUCAUUCAAAGGCUCUAAUGCCUACGUUUGGGGAUAACAGAGGGGAUCAACGUGCUGUUGAGAUGAUCACUCAUGAAAUCACCGAUCUGUUGAGGAAGUCAGAGAAGAGGUUACACAAUUUAUCUACUAGGGGAGGAGGGCCUUCAGAAGAAUCUAAUCUCAGGAAAAAUGUGCAGGUAAUUGCUGAACUUCUUUGAUAUUGAAAGCUUGUUAUGGAUAAGGAGUGUGUGACCAUGUAGAGAAUCUAUGAAUAUUCUAGAGGAAUUUGGGUUAAACUAUAUCUCAUAUGAGAAAAUAUUCUCAUUACCAUUCUAGUUGACAUUAUCACCAGUUAGGUUUAUUAUAUGUUCUGAGUUUGUAGCUUGAGGUUAAAGAUAUGUGUGCAUCUGUUAGUGGGGAUCUCUAAUGGACUUGACCUACGCGUUGACACACUGUUUUUUGACAGCGUUCUCUUGCAACAGAUCUUCAGAGCCUCUCCAUGGAGCUCCGCAGAAAACAGUCUACUUAUUUGAAACGUCUCCAGCAGCAGAAAGAGGUAUUUUACUUUUUUUUUCUUAGUAUAUGCAUGUUGUACCCUAAGUUGAUGCUCUUGUUUAUUUUUGGCUUCUCAAAUCAAAGGGUCAGGAUGGAGUAGAUUUGGAGUUUAACAUGAAUGGAAAGAUGUCAAGAAUGGAUGAAGACGAAGAACUCGGUGGCAUGGUAAGUUCUUAUAUAUCAUUGUAAUUAUCAAGCUAGAGCAGUUUAGUUUUCCUAAUCAAAUAUCAUUGCCUUCCCUUGACACUGUCUCAACAAAUUUAUAGGGUUUUGAUGAACACCAGACAGUCACGUUGAAGGAAGGGCAACAUGUCUCAGCGGAAAGGGAAAGNNNNNNNNNNNNNNNNNNNNNNNNNNNNNNNNNNNNNNNNNNNNNNNNNNNNNNNNNNNNNNNNNNNNNNNNNNNNNNNNNNNNNNNNNNNNNNNNNNNNNNNNNNNNNNNNNNNNNNNNNNNNNNNNNNNNNNNAAGAGUGUUCCUUUCUUUCUACCUCCGCAUAGGUUUCUCGGGGGCACGUUUCCAUUGUUCAUGUUGAUCACGGAGGAGACAAGACAUAGAUGGACACAUGAAGAGAAACAACGUCCGGUGAAAAGCUGAUUCCUUGUCCGUUAACGGAGCAUAAAGCUGCGACAUUUUUUUCCUCAAUUCCAUAAAUAAACCCCGACCAAACAACAUUUAAACAAAUACGAUAGUAUUUUUUUCUAGAAUUUUCACACAUUAAAUAACUAUCCUAAAUGCAUCAUUUUCAACAAUAGUAAUUCAACAACCUCAAUUCAUUUUCUUGAAGUCUACAAUUUUUUUACAGUAAACAUAAAAAUCUUAUUUUUUUCUGAAAAAUCUAAAAAAAAUCUUAUUUUUUUGAAAAAUCUUAUUUUUCUGAAAAAACUUAUUUUUCUAGAAAAAACUAUCUUAAUGAAAUUGGAGGAAUUAUAGUUUUGUAAUGAAAACUCAAACCUGAAGUACAAACUGGAGAGGCUCUUCACAUAAGUCACAUAGAAUAGACUUCCCUGAUGGUAAGUUAACUGGAUCCAACCACGCCUGUAUUAACCCAAAGAAUCAAAACCUAAGAACAUAAAAAGACAAGCUUUGGUUGAGAUUUGAGAAUAUUAAAAGAUUAUUACCGGAACACCGCCUGCUAAGUUAGGGAAGAGUUGUCUGAGACUUGACCAUGGGAACUUGGGACUCUCGACGAAACCCAAUAUCACAGGCUCUUCUUCGUCAUCUUCGUCGUCGUCAUCGAAUUCGUCUAAGUUUAUUGGUUCCACUGGAGAUUCUUCUUUAACGUCUUCGUCGUCAUCGUCGAGCUGGGUUAUUCGGAGGCCUUUGAAAUCGUCUCCGUUGAAGCUGCUCAUCGCUAAAGGUUUUGACUUUAUGAGUUGAGUUGUUGAAAAUGAACCAAGGGGGGUGAUUCUAGGGUUUUACUAAUUGCUGCUAUAAACCUCCACUCCAUCUUUCACGAAGAAGACGAUGAAGUUAGAAAAACC